GUGGGUGUAGCUCAACUGGUUAGAGCAUCUGACUGUGGAUCAGAGGGCUGGGGGUUCAAGUCCCCUCACCCACC
rnacentral:tRNA from 1 species